AUUUCUAUAAUAUAUAAAUAUAUAUAUAUAUAUUUAUAUAGUUUAAAAAACAUUACAUUUUCAUUGUAAAAUUAAAUAUUUAUUAUUUUAUAA
rnacentral:tRNA from 1 species